UACAGAGGGUGCGAGCGUUGUUCGGAAUUAUUGGGCGUAAAGGGCGCGUAGGCGGCGCCACAGGUCACCCUGUGAAAACUCUGGGCUCAACCCAGAGCCUGCAGGCGAAACUGUGGUGCUGGAGUAUGGGAGAGGUGCGUGGAAUUCCCGGUGUAGCGGUGAAAUGCGUAGAUAGUCGGGAGGAACACCUGUGGCGAAAAGCGGCGCACUGGACCAUAACUGACGCUGAGGCGCGAAAGCUAGGGGAGCAAACAGG
rnacentral:rRNA from 1 species